GGAUGUAAUGCUUAUCCUCUGACACCUUUGGACUGAGGAAGAAAAAGCCAAUGGGCAAAGGAGCAAACCUGCCAUAUAAUAAUAAUAAGCACUGAACCAAGGAAAUGUUCACUCACAAUCUUGACUCUUCAGCGACACAAAUGGUUUGUGGCCAAAGUUCAGACUGCUUAAAUUACGUGCCAUCACCCAUACUCACCAGCACUCUGAGAAACAACAAGCCGCUCAGUGAUGGUAAACAACACUCACGAGGAAACCACUUCAAAAAGCUCAGGUCAGUGUUCACAAGGGGA